UGAACGCUAAUAGUAUGCUUUACACAUGCGAGUUGUACGAGAAAUCGUAGCGAACGGGUGAGGAAUGCGCAAUUAAAAAACUAACUACCUUUUAAUUCAAAAUAAACUAUACCUUUAAAAAUAAUGUUUUUUAUAGGAUAAAACUUUUUGAGUUUGUAGUAAUAUUGAAUAAAGAUUUUAAAAUUUAUAUUUAUUUAAAAAUCGUUAAAAGAUGAAUUUGUGCAAGAUUAGGUAGUUGGUGUAAAUAAAAGUGCACCAAGCCGUUGAUCUUUAGUUGGCCUAAGAGGGUGUUCAACCACAUUGGAACUGAGACAAGGUCCAAGCUAUUUUAGCCAGCAGUGAGGAAUAUUGGACAAUUAACGAAAGUUUGAUCCAGCAAUACUAUAUGAAUGAAUGACGGCUAAUUUUUGGUUGUAAAGUUCUUUCGUUAAAAAUGAUAAUGACAUUAUUUAAAGAAGUUUUAGUCCCGGCUAAUCUCGUG
rnacentral:rRNA from 1 species